rnacentral:tRNA from 1 species
GCCUAGGUAGCUCAGUCGGUAGAGCAGAGGACUGAAAAUCCUCGUGUCGGUGGUUCGAUUCCGCCCCUGGGCACCA